GCGCGAAAACUUUACAAUGCGGGAAACCGUGAUAGGGGAACUCCGAGUGCCCGUUAAAUCGGGCUGUCCACCAGUUUAAAUAACUGGUGAAGAAAGGGCCGGGCAAGACCGGUGCCAGCCGCCGCGGUAAUACCGGCGGCUCGAGUGGUGGCCACUAUUACUGGGCUUAAAGCGUUCGUAGCUGGUUUGUUAAGUCUCUGGGGAAAUCUUCCGGCUUAACCGGAAGGCGUCUCAGGGAUACUGGCAGACUAGGGACCGGGAGAGGUGAGGGGUACUCCAGGGGUAGGAGUGAAAUCCUGUAAUCCUUGGGGGACCACCUGUGGCGAAGGCGCCUCACCAGAACGGCUCCGACAGUGAGGGACGAAAGCUGGGGGAGCAAACC
rnacentral:rRNA from 1 species